rnacentral:rRNA from 1 species
GACGAACGCUGGCGGCGUGCUUAACACAUGCAAGUCGAACGGAAAGGCCUUUUCGGAGGUACUCGAGUGGCGAACGGGUGAGUAACACGUGGGUGAUCUGCCCUGCACUCUGGGAUAAGCCUGGGAAACUGGGUCUAAUACCGGAUAGGACCGCACUUUAGUGUGUGUGGUGGAAAGUUUUUUCGGUGUAGGAUGAGCCCGCGGCCUAUCAGCUUGUUGGUGGGGUAAUGGCCUACCAAGGCGGCGACGGGUAGCCGGACUGAGAGGUUGGUCGGCCACAUUGGGACUGAGAUACGGCCCAGACUCCUACGGGAGGCAGCAGGGGGGAAUAGUGCACAAUGGGCGCAAGCCUGAUGCAGCGACGCCGCGUGGGGGAUGACGGCCUUCGGGUUGGAAACUCCUUUCGCCAGGGACGAAGCGUUUUGUGACGGUACCUGGAGAAGAAGCACCGGCUAACUACGUG